rnacentral:rRNA from 1 species
CCCUUAGAUGUUCGGGGCCGCACGCGCGCUACACUGAAGGACUCAGCGUGUCUCUCCCCCUAUCCCGAAAGGGAUGGGCAACCCGUUGAACCUCCUUCGUGCUAGGGAUUGGGGUUUGCAAUUAUCCCCCAUGAACGAGGAAUUCCCAGUAAGCGCGAGUCAUCAGCUCGCGUUGAUUACGUCCCUGCCCUUUGUACACACCGCCCGUCGCUACUACCGAUUGGAUGGUUUAGUGAGACCCUCGGAUCGGUCCCGACUCGGGGUGGGCUUCUGCCCCGGUCGUGGUUUCGCCGAGAAGACGGCCAAACCUGACUAUCUAGAGGAAGUAAAAGUCGUAACA